CAGUCGAGCGGUAACAGAGAGUAGCUUGCUACUUUGCUGACGAGCGGCGGACGGGUGAGUAAUGCUUGGGGAUCUGCCCGGUCGAGGGGGAUAACCGUUGGAAACGACGGCUAAUACCGCAUACGCCCUACGGGGGAAAGCAGGGGACCUUCGGGCCUUGCGCGAUUGGAUGAACCCAAGUGAGAUUAGCUUGUUGGUGAGGUAACGGCUCACCAAGGCGACGAUCUCUAGCUGGUCUGAGAGGAUGACCAGUCACACUGGGACUGAGACACGGCCCAGACUCCUACGGGAGGCAGCAGUGGGGAAUAUUGCACAAUGGGGGAAACCCUGAUGCAGCCAUGCCGCGUGUGUGAAGAAGGCCUUCGGGUUGUAAAGCACUUUCAGUGGUGAGGAAAGGAGGUUGGCUAAUACCUGACCUCUGUGACGUUAACCACAGAAGAAGCACCGGCUAACUCCGUGCCAGCCGC
rnacentral:rRNA from 1 species